rnacentral:rRNA from 1 species
GACGAACGCUGGCGGCGUGCUUAACACAUGCAAGUCGAACGGAAAGGCCUCUUUCUUGUGGUACGCUAGUGUCGAACGCGUGUGUAACACGUGAGUAUCCUGCCCUUUACUUUUUGAUAUCUUCACGGAACUGUGGCUAUUACCGCAUAUGAGCUCCUCCUCCAUGUUGUGGGUUGUGAAGUUUCGGCGGUUGGGGAUGGACUCGCGGCGUAUCAGCGUGUUGGGGGGGUAGUGUGUUACCAAGGCUUUGACGGGUAGCCCGGCUUGGAGGGUGAACGGCCCAAAUGGGAAUGAGAAAAGGCCCCGACUCCUACGGGAGGCAGGAGGGGGGAAUAAUGCACCAUGGGUGGGAGCCCGAUGCAGGAAAGGCGUGUGCGGGAAGAAGGGCCUCGGGUUGUAAAACGGUUUCGCCCAUGAAGAAGCUUUGUGUGACGGUAGUGGGUAAAGAAGCACCGGCUAACUACGUG